AUGACGUGACUUUCUCAAGAUGAAUGACUGAAGCCACAUCACAAACUGCAGAGCAUCUGUAGCUGAAGAUGAUGGUCAACACAUAAAGAGCGGUAGGUGAAUAUGGAAGGAGACAGCCAUCACUUCUAUGGCAGUCAUCCAGAUAGGCCAAGGAGUCACAGGGCGGAUGGGGACUGCCUAGGCUCUCCCUGGCCAAACACCAGGGCAGGCACAAGAACCCAUGUCUGAAUCGCCAGAACCCACGUGAAAAAACAAAACAGCAGCAGCAAACAACAACAACAAAACAACCAACCAAACUAAAAACCCAGGUGAUGUGGCACUCCCAAUAUCGGUGAAGCAGGGGUAAGAGGAUCCAGGAAGCUUCGUGGCCAGUCAGUAUUACUGACUCAUCGAGCUCCAGGUUCAUCGUGAGACACGGUCUCAAAGAAUAAGGCUGAGUGUGAAGAUCCGCCUUGCCACUUAGCAGUGUGUGAACUUGCUAAGCACCCCUGCCACCCUCCCAGAUCAUAUGCACAGCGCUGAUAGGAAAAUGCACUUCAGAGGGUUGUGAAGAGAACCAGAAUGUUCUCCAGGCUCCACCCAAUGCCAAGGGUCUAGCCAACAGACUGAGUUCCAGCUUCGCAACAGCAUCCUGACCAAAACCAGUAUAUGCAUUCCUUACCAGAGCUGCCGCCAGCCAGCAAAGGUUCGGACCAGAAACCCAUACUGCCUCUAUCCUCUGCUUUCCACCAAAGAUGAGAGCAUGCAAUUAAGAAGCCAGGAGGAAAGAAAAACAGUAUUCGAGAAGUUUGCUCCAGCACCAAAGAUCCUGGGUCAGCAACCAGAGGACCGCAAGAAGGUGAUGCGUGCGCACUUUGGUAUGAUGUGCUGUUUCCCAAAAGAUGCUCAGACCUAGGCCCAGCCAGCCUGGCCUAACACGUGGGAAGGGAAGUGCCAGAGUUAUUCACAGAUGCCAGGCCCCCAUCUACCCCGGCUGGCAGCCCAUAUGGGCUCAUGAUGCCUGGCGCAGAACUGGGAUUGCCAGUCCGUGCAGAUGCGCUCUGGCGAUUUUCUGUUUUGUUGUUGGAUAGUUAAAAACCUACUUUAGAAUGCAUGGAGCUUUAUCCCACUAGACUGGAAGAAUAAGAAGUCCUAUCUUUCCAAAUACCAAGGAUAAGUAUAGUAACAAUAUCAACAGCAUCCACUGCCUAGUGAGGAGGUUUCUUCUACAUUGGGAAACACCCAGGGCUCCUCUGUUCAACUGAGGUCACACUGCCCCCCUGAGAUCCACACAGGUAUUGCACAUACUGCUAGUACUCAAGGGUAGUCACUAAGCCCAAAAUAGCCACUUAAAUCU